rnacentral:rRNA from 1 species
UACGAAGGGGGCUAGCGUUGCUCGGAAUCACUGGGCGUAAAGCGCACGUAGGCGGCUUUCUAAGUCAGGGGUGAAAUCCUGGAGCUCAACUCCAGAACUGCCUUUGAUACUGGAGGGCUUGAGUCCGGGAGAGGUGAGUGGAACUCCGAGUGUAGAGGUGAAAUUCGUAGAUAUUCGGAAGAACACCAGUGGCGAAGGCGACUUACUGGACACAUAUUGACGCUGAGGUGCGAAAGCGUGGGGAGCAAACAGG